UAGUAAUAUAACUUUGAAAAAGUAACUGUAGUCAAUCUGCAAACUGUGUUUCAUUCUAGAUUCUAUCAUUGUUUUUGUCUUGGAAUAUGUGAAUCGCCGACAAAAUGGGGGAAUCUCAGAUUCUACUCGUAGAGAGCUUUUCUUGGUCUCUAAAGACUUUGUUUACUUUAUGGAUCGUCUUCUUUACUCUCCUUCACAGCUCAAGCUGCUCUUUCUAAUUCUUUGAUUAAGCACAUGUCCUGGGCUCUCAAGUGGACUACAGGAUCAUCAUCCUCCAGAACCUCCUCCCAAUCAGUUGAUUGUUUGUUGUUCAAUACAGGACUAGUUUUUUUUAAUGUAUCCACUUCUUGUGUAGACACAACUAAUUUUUUUAAUCAGAGCUUCAUGCUGUUGAUGAACUUAACAGCAACAUCUUCAAAAUCACUCCCCCCUUGUCCCACUACAAGCAGGGGGAGAUUGGUGGCUGGAUCAUUUCAAGGGGUUACUACAAUAGCUGGGGGAAAAUCAAAUGUGGCUGGAUACAGAGAUGGACCAAGCGAGGAUGCUAAGUUCUCUAAUGAUUUUCGAUCUUGUAUAUGUUCGUCCUACUUGCUCGUUGCUGGUCAUCGACAGAGGAAACGCAGCUGUUCGCCAAAUCUCUCUUAGUGAAGAGGUCUGUGAGUAUCACUAUACCUUGGUGAAGCCUGUAGAGUACAGUAACAGUUCAAAGUUUGAUCAUCUCAAUAUGAGGAGCAACAAUUACGGACCUGAAACUCCAUUUCGCUUCUAGAGAUACAAAUCAGAUAUCAGAACUCAAUGAGCAUUGCUUUUGUCAGAGAUUUACUUAUGUCUUUGUAGUUUCAGAGCGAAGUCCUUUUACACAGAUGAAGAGAAAACAAGGUUAAAGAAUGGUAUUGUAGUGAAAGGACUGUUGAUUUUGUUUUAAGCUGUCAUUUGCUUUGUUGGUUUUUACCAUUGAGUUAAGGUUUGAUUUUAUCAAAAAAAAAAACAUUGUGAGA